rnacentral:rRNA from 1 species
UACGGGGGGAGCAAGCGUUGUUCGGAUUUACUGGGCGUAAAGGGUGCGUAGGCGGCGGGGUAAGUCAGGUGUGAAAUCCCGGAGCUCAACUCCGGAACUGCACUUGAUACUACCUUGCCUAGAGUACUGGAGAGGAGACUGGAAUUUACGGUGUAGCAGUGAAAUGCGUAGAUAUCGUAAGGAAGACCAGUGGCGAAGGCGAAGUCGUCUGGACAGUUACUGACGCUGAGGCACGAAGGCCAGGGGAGCAAACGGG